rnacentral:rRNA from 1 species
CAGCCGCCGCGGUAAUACCGGCGGCCCGAGUGGCGGUCACUAUUAUUGGGCUUAAAGCGUCCGUAGCCGGGUUGGGAAGUCCUCCGGGAAAUCUGGCCGCUUAAAGGUCAGAAUGCCGGAGGAUACUCCCAGCCUAGGGACCGGGAGAGGCCGAGGGUAUUCCCGGAGUAGGGGUGAAAUCCUAUAAUCCCGGGAGGACCACCUGUGGCGAAGGCGCUCGGCUGGAACGCGUCCGACGGUGAGGGACGAAGGCCAGGGGAGCAAACCGGAUUAGAUACCCGGGUAGUCCUGGCUGUAAACGAUGCGGACUUUGUGUCGGACAAGCUAUGAGCUUGUCCGGUGCCGGAGGGAAACCGUUAAGUCCGCCGCCUGGGGAGUACGGCCGCAAGGCUGAAACUUAAAGGAAUUGGCGGG